rnacentral:rRNA from 1 species
AGCGAACGCUGGCGGCAGGCUUAACACAUGCAAGUCGAGCGGGCAUAGCAAUAUGUCAGCGGCAGACGGGUGAGUAACGCGUGGGAACGUACCUUUUGGUUCGUAACAACACAGGGAAACUUGUGCUAAUACCGGAUAAGCCCUUACGGGGAAAGAUUUAUCGCCGAAAGAUCGGCCCGCGUCUGAUUAGCUAGUUGGUGAGGUAAUGGCUCACCAAGGCGACGAUCAGUAGCUGGUCUGAGAGGAUGAUCAGCCACAUUGGGACUGAGACACGGCCCAAACUCCUACGGGAGGCAGCAGUGGGGAAUAUUGGACCAUGGGCGCAAGCCUGAUCCAGCCAUGCCGCGUGAGUGAUGAAGGCCCUAGGGUUGUAAAGCUCUUUUGUGCGGGAAGAUAAUGACGGUACCGAAAGAAUAAGCCCCGGCUAACUUCGUG